AUUUAACUUUACAAUCUGAUCGAUAAUGGCCAUAUUUCUUACAAUGAAAGCAUUGAAUUUUGGACUUGUCAACAUACCUUUUAUUUCCAAAAAGUACACCGGACAAAAUUCCUUUUCUCAGAGCAUGUUAAUUCUAAGUCCUUUUCCACCAUUGGGACUACCAUUGAAAUUGCUUGAGCUAGUCAAAUUAACCUUGUUUUGAAAAGCUUGAUCCACAACAUUUAUUUCUCGGUUAUUCAUUCUAUAUUCAUGAGAACACAAUGAGCUCUGUAGCCUUUCAACAGUCAUGGUUGAAAAACCUCUUCUUCAAUUGCAGUAACCACAUAAUCAAAACGACCUGUUAAGGACUUUGCAAUUUUUUCAACA
rnacentral:lncRNA from 1 species